rnacentral:lncRNA from 1 species
AUGCAACAUAUUUCCCUUCUGUUUGUUCCAGGCGCUGUGGGCCCCGUUCCCUUCCUCCCCGCGGAAGUAAAGGGACCCUGGCACCCACCGAGGCCGACGGUCAUGAGGGCAGUUUUGACGGCAAGGGCAGAAACGAGCAAGACCCAGGGGCUCAGGCGGGAACAGCUGCUCCCUUCUGCUGGGGCUGAAAAACACAAGGCAAGAGUGGAAAUCCCCGGCCCAGAGUCGGGGAGCAGGACAAUCCAAGGGGCUGCGUGCCCUGACAGCCUGCUGAUAACCCUGUCCCAAGGCCUGGCAGGUCCCGCAGGCUCUGUAACCUGCUCGUGCUGUCUGUCACUGGCAGUGGGUUACACCUGCAGCGUAGGGCAACACGGGGACUGCCCUCUUGCUUCAUGUCAAAAGCCAUACCUGCGCUCUUCCCAAGCUGCACUACUUUUCUUCUCCCGUCACACCUCUUUCCUGACCUGCACACCUUCCUGGUUGCCCUCCCUUCCCCCUGUGUUUCACUGAAUGCUCUUUCUCUACCUCCCUCUGUACUGGGUCUGGCUGGGAUGUUCACUUUCCCUGCAGCAGCCCAUACAGUGCUGUGCUCUCCGCUUGUAGCUGGAACAGCAGUGGUAUCACAUGAGUGUUGUGUCUGCUGCUGAGCAGUGCUGGCACAGCAUCGGGCCUCUCUCUAACCCUCCUAGGGGUGGGCAAAAAAGUGGGAAGAGAAACAUCACCAGGGCAGCUGACCUAAACCAACCAAAGGGAUAUUCCAUACCAUCUGAUGUCACACUCAGCAAUAAAAGGUGGAAUCAGGAAGAAGAGGGGAGGGCUGGGCUCUCGUGAAAAUGUCGGUCCUCCUCCCGAACACUGGCUAAGUGCUUUGAGGCCCUGCUUCAAGGACGUGGUCUAACAUCGCCCAUUUGUGGGAAGUAGAGAGUAAUUUCUUUCCUCUACACUUCCACAUAGCCUUCAUUAGUUUUAUUUGUUUGUUUUCCUCCCUUUUUUUCCUUUCCCCCUCCCUUUUCCCCUUUUCUUUUUUUUUCUUUUAUUUAAAUUGUUUUGUUCUUAAGAAUCUUUCUAUUAUUACUAUUAUUAUUAUUAUUAUUAUUAUUAUUAUUAUUAUUAUUUAAUUAUAUUAUCCUUAUCUCAACCGGUGAUUUGUUCUUUGCUUUACUUCUUCCCCUCCUCUUCUAAGAAGGGGGAGUGAGAGAGUGGUGGUGUUUAGCCGCCCAGCACAGUAAAAAUACCAACCUUCCUCCUCACCUCUCUCUGGAGCAUCUUUCUCUCAGCUACCCAACUCUUAGUUGGGCUCUGGCCCCCAGCAUCUUUUACGCAACAGCGAGUAGUCACUUACUCAAAGGACUGACAGUCCAGCUCGGUGUCUGGCAGCAGACACACAGAAGAGAUGGUUUCUACCCCGAGAAUGGACUCUGGGUCUUUCUCCUGGUACACAGCCAGCCACGGUACCAUGCCCUUUAUAUAUCCCAGCCCCGUAUUUUCCCCCACCUUCUACUUCUCCUAGAGGAGGGCAGAAAGGAAGGCUUUAUGGUUACCUGCAGUCCCAGGACUGACUCUCUCUUGCUGGUUCAUUAUCACUGCCACAGCAUCGCUCUUCACCAAGAAUCCGUCCACGUUACCAGUACGGCCACAAGCACAGCCCUCCUGCAGGAGGAGGAGCUAGGGCAGCUCCCACAGUGCCGGGCAGUCUGCACGGAACUGAAUGUGAUGUGCAGACAGAGUCAUAGCUGGGGUAUUCCCCACAGCACAUGGAGAUGACAAAUUUUCAUCGUUUCCUUGUCAGGACGUUUCACAAGAGGCUUGUUGCAAAAAAGAAAC